UAGUCCACGCCGUAAACGAUGAGUACUAGAUGUUGGGACAAUGACCGUUUCAGUAUCGAAGCUAACGCAUUAAGUACUCCGCCUGGGAAGUACGGUCGCAAGACUAAAACUCAAAGGAAUUGACGGGGGCCCGCACAAGCGGUGGAUCAUGUGGUUUAAUUCGAGGAUACGCGCAAAACCUUACCUGGGCUUGAAAUCCUGUGAACUAAAUAGAGAUAUUAUGGUGCCCUUCGGGGAACACAGUGACAGGUGCUGCAUGGCUGUCGUCAGCUCGUGUUGUGAAAUGUUGGGUUAAGUCUCGCAACGAGCGCAACCCCUGUUGUUAGUUGCCAGCAUUAAGUUGGGCACUCUAGCAAGACUGCCUGGGUUAACCAGGAGAAGGUGGGGAUGACGUCAAGUCCUCAUGGCCCUUAUGUCCAGGGCUACACACGUGAUACAAUGGCGCAUACAAUGGAAGCCAACCAGCAAUGGGGAGCGAAAAUCUCAAAAAGUGACGUCUCAGUACC
rnacentral:rRNA from 1 species